AUGAAGACGAAGACUCUCCACCCACACAGCUGACAUCACUGUGGAGAAGGAAGGACACAGACGUUGUUGUUGCUGAGCUCCCUCCAUGUAAGAGGGAACAUUUCUGUGAUCCGCCAUAGCGAGCUGCGCUCACUGCGACCUCACCAGUGGCUAACAGGCCCAAACAAAGACACAGUUAUUGAGCCUCUUUCAGCUUUCUGCCAACCAGUCCAGCGUUGGAAAGAACAUUUCCAUCCUUCAUCAUUACACAGCAGGUGGAAAACUUUGUGGGAAACGCGCUGAGCUCAGUGGACACGGCCUCUCCAAGAUCAGCUGUGACGACUACCAGGCCAUUCUGUCCUUUGUAAACACUGACAGAGCCACUGGAAGCUGCUGCUCACUGAUACUUUCUGCAAACAUCACUUUAUAUUAACUCUGUUUAUAUGAUUUAUAAAGUUGUUCUGAGUCUUAUUAUGUGCUUUAUAAAAGCUUUUUUCAAGUAUAUAUUUCCUGCCAUAAGAUGAGUGUUUUUGGUGGAUCCAGCAUCUGAUUCAUCUGAGGAGGCAGCAAAAAGAGUCGACACAUUAGAUAUCACGUCUCAGUAAAAAUGAUGAUUGAUUUGGCUAAAAAGAGGUAAAUAUCCC